rnacentral:rRNA from 1 species
GUGUCAGCCGCCGCGGUAAUACGGAGGGGGCUAGCGUUGUUCGGGAUUACUGGGCGUAAAGCGCGCGUAGGCGGCUUUUCAAGUCAGGGGUGAAAUCCCGGGGCUCAACCCCGGAACUGCCUUCAAAACUGUCGGUCUUGAGUUCGAGAGAGGUGAGUGGAAUUCCGAGUGUAGAGGUGAAAUUCGUAGAUAUUCGGAGGAACACCAGUGGCGAAGGCGGCUCACUGGCUCGAUACUGACGCUGAGGUGCGAAAGUGUGGGGAGCAAACAGGAUUAGAUACCCUGGUAGUCCACACCGUAAACGAUGAAUGCCAGUCGUCGGGCAGCAUGCUGUUCGGUGACACACCUAACGGAUUAAGCAUUCCGCCUGGGGAGUACGGCCGCAAGGUUAAAACUCAAAUGAAUUGGCGGGG